GGACUACCGGGGUUUCUAAUCCUGUUUGCUCCCCACGCCUUCGCGCCUCAGUGUCAGUUAAGAUCCAGGUUGUCGCCUUCGCCACUGAUGUUCUUUCCGAUAUCUACGCAUUUCACCGCUACACCGGAAAUUCCACAACCCUCUAUCUCACUCAAGUCGACCCGUUUUCGACGCAAUUCCCAGGUUAAGCCCGGGGAUUUCACAUCAAACCUAGUCAACCACCUACACGCCCUUUACGCCCAGUCAUUCUGAUUAACGCUUGCACCCUCUGUAUUACCGCGGCUGCUGGCAC
rnacentral:rRNA from 1 species